GAUGAAGAACGUAGCGAAAUGCGAUACGUAAUGUGAAUUGCAGAUUUCAGUGAAUCAUCGAAUCUUUGAACGCACAUUGCGCCCGCUAGUAUUCUGGCGGGCAUGCCUGUUCGAGCGUCAUUUCAACCAUCAAGCCCUGUGCUUGUGUUGGAGCCCUGCGGCUGCCGCAGGCUCCCAAACCCAGUGGCGGGCUCGUCGUCGUACCGAGUGCAGUAAACAUACCACGCUCAGGGCACGCGACGGGUGACCGGCCGUAAAACCCCCCCCUUCUCAAGGUUGACCUCGGGUCAGGUAGGAAUACCCGCUGAACUUAAGCAUAUCAAUAAGCGGAGGA
rnacentral:misc_RNA from 1 species